rnacentral:rRNA from 1 species
GACGAACGCUGGCGGCGUGCUUAACACAUGCAAGUCGAACGGAAAGGCCCUGCUUGCAGGGUACUCGAGUGGCGAACGGGUGAGUAACACGUGGGUGAUCUGCCCUGCACUUCGGGAUAAGCCUGGGAAACUGGGUCUAAUACCGGAUAGGAGCCAUUUUUAGUGUGAUGGUUGGAAAGUUUUUUCGGUGUAGGAUGAGCUCGCGGCCUAUCGGCUUGUUGGUGGGGUAAUGGCCUACCAAGGCGGCGACGGGUAGCCGGCCUGAGGGGGUGGACGGCCACAUUGGGUCUGAGAUACGGCACAGACUGCGACGGGAGGCAGAAGGGGGGAAGAUUGCACAAUGGGCGCAAGCCGGAUGCAGCGACGCCGCGUGGGGGAUGACGGUCUUCGGGUUGUAAAAUCCUUUCGCUAGGGACGAAGCUUUUUGUGACGGUACCUAGAGAAGAAGCACCGGCUAACUACGUG